CAGAGGUCUCAAGCGUUGAUCGGAAUUAUUGGGCUUAAAGGGUGCGUAGGCGGCGCUGUAAGUGCCCUGUGAAAUCCCAUGGCUCAACCAUGGAAUUGCUCGGUAGACUGCAGCGCUUGAGGUUGGUAGAGGUCGCUGGAACUCUAGGUGGAGCGGUGAAAUGCGUAGAUAUCUAGAGGAACGCCAAAGGUGAAGACAAGCGACUGGGCCAAUUCUGACGCUGAGGCACGAAAGCGUGGGUAGCGAACGGGAUUAGAUACCCCGGUAGUCCACGCCCUAAACGAUGUGCACUAGGUCGUGGAGGCUCUGACGCCCCCAUGGUCGAAGUUAAAAUGCUAAGUGCACCGCCUGGGGAGUACGGUCGCAAGGCUA
rnacentral:rRNA from 1 species